UUUUUGCUUUCUCUCGCACGCAUAGGCUCAAAUAUCUAGACGAAGAUGCAAACUGGUUGCUGCAGUCAUUGUCUUGAGGAAGAAAGCUCAUCAUUGCAAUGCCAUCUUUUCACUCGUGCUCGGUGAUUAAACUUCCCCAGCGUGGGGAUGGAAAAGAAGCUGGAAAUGAAACAGGAUUGGGGGAAAUCACAUUGCUGCAGCUGUAGCCUGCGGUGGCCCCUGCCAGACGUGUCCGGGUUUCUGGGGUCCUUGACAUUAAAAAGCAAUGUGAGAAAAUAUUCGGAGACAAAAGCUGCAGCCUAAAUGAUCAUUUUCUUUAUUUAACAUGGCAGCAGGCGCCGUGCGUGGGUAGGAUCAACAUGCUGCGUGUUCAUUUGGACUUCUCUCCCUGUCUCCCUUCGAAGAUGAAAGGAGAUAAUGUAAUCUUUCCUGUGCCAAAUAGGGACCCGAGAGCGAUGAACAUAUAUGGCUGUUUCUAUUCGUGCUGGUGUAUUUUCAGCGAUGCCUGUCAACAUCCACCAGAGAGCAGGGCAGCUCCAAUACCCACAUCUUUUAUGCUGUGGAAAUCAAUGGGGACAGCAACACAGCCAGCUUCCUGACCAAACAACAUGGAUUGCAGUUCAUUUCAAAGGAGCAGGCAAUGGCAUCAUCCAAAUGCCCCAGUGUCUGAAAGAAAUAAUUACCUGACUGAAGAACAGUGGGCUCAAUCUCAACCCAGGCAAGAUGGAGAUGAAACUGGUAAGAAAAUGGAAGCACUUCAAGGAAAUGGCAAAAAUGAUGGUGGCAUCUCUAUUGAGGGCACUUGCUCUCUGGUUGUCAAGGUGAUGCACAGUCUUUCCUAAUCCUGGGCUACCAAGUAGCAACAAUGGCCAGAAAUGCCUUCUUCAGCGAGGCAGAAGACUGCCCCCUUUGCUCGCUGAUGUGUACCUUGCCACAGUAAUUCAUGGCCAAGCUGGAUUAGUGCAAAAUGCUCCCUCCCUUUGGGCUGUCUGUGAAGGCUGCAUGGAAGCAUCAGAUGACAGAAUUUGUGACACAAAUUAAGGAGAGCAUAUCUCACCAUUUCGGUACCCAGCAUUGGCUCUGCCCACAAUACUAGAAGUGCUUUGAGAUUGUGGUAAUCAUUUCAGCUCUUUCAGUCGGCUAGGAUGUUGCAGUUUCUGGGGCUUUUUCUCUCUCUACCAGUUUUAGAACACAACAAUCUACAGGGACAGGACAGGUAAGCGAGCUCAGGAUGGAACUCUGAGGUUUGGAGGGCACAACUUUCUUGAUGGAGGCCCUUUUGUGAUGGAACUACCUGAUGGUAGAGAUCAGGCUGAGUUUGAAUCUUGCCAAGUACAGGCACAAUGCAAGACUCCCCUGUUUGCACAGGCCUUCCUAUAGUAAAGGUUGCCAAAUGGCCCAAUGGCAUUCCGUCCCUCUCUGUGUGAUUCAUUCCUAUUUGGACAAUAAUUUUUGGUUCUCCUGUUCAUAUUUGGCCCUUAGAUCCUAUAAUGCAUUAUAAAUUAACAAAUACUAUGAAUAAGGUGUCGUGCAGCAUCUUGUUAGUGAUACCUCAUUAGCCCCAUGAGAAAUAGAAAUUUAAAACAAAACCAUAGACAAAUGGAUAUGGACAUACAGUGUGGGAUAAAGCUAUGUUUGUGCUAGUAGCCAACUCAAGCAGCUAUGAAUAUCAGGUUUGAUUUAGUUGUAUAAAUUGCUUCAAUGGUGAAUAAUAGUAUUACAAAACUCAUCACUUAUAUAGUGAUGAGAACCCCAUAUCACUUCACAAACAUUAGUUCAUUAUUAAGUCUCACAACACUAUAGGAAGUAGUACUAUGUUUUUUCUCUGCAAGAUGACUUUUCCCCCUCCUUCACCAGAUUGAUGCUCCCUUCCUUAUUAUGUUUAUGAUGGUAUUAUAUAUAAUUUACUUUGCAUACACUUGUGACACACAAUUUUGUAUUCUAAAUCAUAUUGUGGCUCUUUGAUUCUUCUUGUUGAAAAAGGGACUCUGGCUGAUAAUUGCUGAAUGCUUUAUAAAUAGCAUGGCUGGAGAAAUGAAAUGCUAGAAUUUCUAACAACACUAGUCUACAGCACUGAAAAGAGAAACUUAAUUAUAACCAGAACCCAAAAUAUAUUAUUUGAUUUUUUUUUAAAUAAAUAUUUUUGUGUAAAACUAGUGUUCAUGAAAAAUCCUGGUUUAACA